AUUGAACGCUGGCGGCAUGCUUUACACAUGCAAGUCGAACGGCAGCGCGGGCUUCGGCCUGGCGGCGAGUGGCGAACGGGUGAGUAAUGCAUCGGAACGUGCCCAGUAGUGGGGGAUAGCCCGGCGAAAGCCGGAUUAAUACCGCAUACGACCUGAGGGUGAAAGCGGGGGACCGAAAGGCCUCGCGCUAUUUGAGCGGCCGAUGUCGGAUUAGCUAGUUGGUGGGGUAAAGGCUUACCAAGGCGACGAUCCGUAGCUGGUCUGAGAGGACGAACAGCCACACUGGGACUGAGACACGGCCCAGACUCCGACGGGAGGCAGCAGUGGGGAAUUUUGGACAAUGGAGGCAACCCUGAUCCAGCCAUGCCGCGUGCGGGAAGAAGGCCUUCGGGUUGUAAACCGCUUUUGUUCGGGAAGAAAUCCUCUGGGCUAAUACCCCGGGGGGAUGACGGUACCGGAAGAAUAAGCACCGGCUAACUACGU
rnacentral:rRNA from 1 species